AGAGUUUGAUCAUGGCUCAGGAUGAACGCUAGCGACAGGCCUAACACAUGCAAGUCGAGGGGCAGCGGAGAGGUAUCAAUACCUUUGCCGGCGACCGGCGCACGGGUGAGUAACACGUAUGCAAUCCACCUGUAACAGGGGGGAUAACCCGGAGAAAUCCGGACUAAUACCCCAUAAUAUGGGCGCUCCGCAUGGAGAGCCCCAUUAAAGAGAGCAAUUUUGGUUACAGACGAGCAUGCGCUCCA
rnacentral:rRNA from 1 species